GUGAGGAAUAUUGGUCAAUGGGCGGAAGCCUGAACCAGCCAAGUAGCGUGCAGGAUGACGGCCCUAUGGGUUGUAAACUGCUUUUAUACAGGAAUAAAGUUAGCCACGUGUGGUUAUUUGUAGGUACUGUAUGAAUAAGGACCGGCUAAUUCCGUGCCAGCAGCCGCGGUAAUACGGAAGGUCCAGGCGUUAUCCGGAUUUAUUGGGUUUAAAGGGAGCGUAGGCCGUCUGUUAAGCGUGUUGUGAAAUGUAGAUGCUCAACAUCUGAAUUGCAGCGCGAACUGGCAGACUUGAGUGUGCGCAACGUAGGCGGAAUUCGUGGUGUAGCGGUGAAAUGCUUAGAUAUCACGAAGAACUCCGAUUGCGAAGGCAGCUUACGGGAGCACAACUGACGCUGAAGCUCGAAAGUGCGGGUAUCGAACAGGAUUAGAAACCCUUGUAGUCC
rnacentral:rRNA from 1 species